AGUCUGACGCGAGCACGCCGCGUGAGUGAUGAAGGCCUUCGGGUCGUAAAGCUCUGUUGUUAGGGAAGAACAAGUACCAGAGUAACUGCUCGUACCUUGACGGUACCUAACCAGAAAGCCACGGCUAACUACGUGCCAGCAGCCGCGGUAAUACGUAGGUGGCAAGCGUUGUCCGGAAUUAUUGGGCGUAAAGCGCGCGCAGGCGGUUUCUUAAGUCUGAUGUGAAAGCCCACGGCUCAACCGUGGAGGGUCAUUGGAAACUGGGGAACUUGAGUGCAGAAAAAGAAAGCGGAAUUCCACGUGUAGCGGUGAAAUGCCUAGAGAUGUGGAGGAACACCAGUGGCGAAGGCGGCUUUUUGGUCUGUAACUGACGCUGAGGCGCGAAAGCGUGGGGAGCAAACAGGAUUAGAUACCCUGGUAGUCCACGCCGUAAACGAU
rnacentral:rRNA from 1 species